CUCCACUGGGCAAACCAGCCUUCCAUCUUCGACCCAUCUAUCGAAGCGCAGCUCAGUGUAAAUAUUUCGUCUAACAUUUUACUUUUCCGAAUGGGCGGUUAUUAGGAUGCAUAAGAUUCUGUAUUUACGAUAGCAUAGCUUCACAAGGUGCAAUAGAGACCCAGUCAUUUUGUUCCCCAGUCUUCCCGCUCUUUCAUUCCAACCCUAACAACCUUUCUUUGUGUAACCAGCCCUCAUAUCGGUUUCUUCCGCUAGGACGUUUUUCUUUAUGACAUGAUUAGUAAUCAAUGUAUAAUCCAUCCUGUGUAAAUGUAAUUCUGUGUGAUUAUUUUGGUAUUAUUCUGUGUUCCCCUGACUUCCUAGUUAAUUAAAUUGACAUGAUUAGUUUAAUCAGGUAAUAAUAAUUACAGAGAAUUGAUUUGAUAAAAUAGCAUUUAAUCCAUAGCCAGAGACACGACAACAGAUAUCUACUAAGUGUGCAUGGAGUACUGUUGACUACUCCAUGUGAAAAAUGAACAGUUUGUGAACACUCAGAUGUAACACCUUAUCUUGGAACCAACGUUUAUUAUGGGUACUUAAUAACUCAUGUGUGGUGGACACAUCUUACUUUAUCCUAAUAUUGUCAACCAUAUUAUUUCCUAUAUUGCAUUGUGAAAGUGUGAAAUGUAUACUGUAUAUUGUCUGUACCUGCAGUGUCGCAACACACCUUACUGUAUCGUCCAGAAGAACAUGUCAUGGGUGAAAAUCAUCACUCCCCAAUCAGUCAACAAUCAAUCAUCAAUCAGAAGACACACCUCCUCAUAUUUCCUGACCUAUCACAGUUCCUUCCCCAUGGUUUAAAACCCCAUUUGUUUGUUCUACAGCUCAGCUCAGCUCAAUCUCUCUGUAAAUGCCAUGUCUGUAGGUCUCUGUGUUUCACUCUCGCUUUGUGUCGUAACCUCUCUUUGUUUAAGCACCUCAUAGCACUUUGUCAUCACCUGUGAGUAUUGUUUUUGGUUAUGGUGUUUGUGUUUGAUUGCUGGUGGAAAAGGGGGAAACCAAGACAAGUCGCCCAUGGGCAUACACUACCCGUAGGUGAACUUUGUUAAAUACACUAGUUAGAACUGGGCGGACCACCCACUGUAUUUUUGGUUAGUUAGUUAGCUGUUGUUAAAGUAGGCUAGUCUAGCUUAGGGGUGUUUUUUGAAUACUUAUUGUUUCUUUCCUUGGGUCCAGCCCAGCCCCUUUUCCUGCUCCCCCCAUUACCGUGUGUUUAUAAAUAAACCUAGAGUUUGACGGUA